GAUGACAUCUUCGUUUUUCUGACACUUAGGUCACUGCGCAUGCGCAAACAACGGCGCUCAGUGCAGCAAAGCUAACAAGCUUGUCAGCGAGUUACCGCCAAUUUUCAGCCCUCGGUUUUUUCUCUUAAGGGUAUAAAAAUGAGUGGGGGAGCUGGACCAAGUAAGAAGACAAAAACUUAUCACUUUCAUUAAUUUUUUCACGAUGACAUUUUCGAAGUGCGUUUGCCUCAUCUGCCAAUCUGCCAUCGCAAUACCAAAGAAGGGAAAUGUGGAGCGGCAUUUUCGGACUAUUCAUGGAAAAUACGACACCGACUUCCCGCUGAAAAGCGAGCUGAGAAAGAGAAAGGUGAAGGAACUGAAAUCCCAGUUGUCCGGACAGCAGUCAUUUUUCACACAACAAACUUCAAAAGCGAAAGUCGCCACCGAAGUAUCAUUCCGGGAUGACGGCUAAGAUGGAGCCUAUCCCAGCUGACUUUGCGUAAGAGGAAGGAUCGCCUACACCAGGGGUCGGCAACCCAACAUGCCAUAUUGGACCCAAAAUACAAACAAAAAAAUUUGUCUGGAGCCGCAAAAACUGAAAAGUCUUAUACAAGUGUUAUAAUGAAGGCAACACAUGAGAAGUCCAGGGGGCCACUAGGACGGCGCGAAAGAGACGCGGGUUGCUGACCCCCGGCCUGCACCCUAGACUGGCCGCCAGUUCAUCACAGGACACACGAACAACCCUUCGCCCUCAAAUCAGAGAAAAAUGGCAACAGCGGAGGAUGAAUGUCCCAUAACAAGAAGGUGGAGAAAAAGAAGAAGCUUAUCGACUACGGUGUCGGCACGGACUACAAAGGCGGACCUGCACGAAUAUUCCGGACUUAUACAGAUCAGCAGGUACCAGAAGGUAAGAAAACUUGCUUUUGCAUAAUAUUGGGAAACAAAACACCAGAAAAUAUCUUACCUUAUACACACACCAUAAUAAUACUCGUAUGUUAAAGCACAGUACAAUCCAUCAAGCGAUGUGUAGCUUACCAAAGUCCUACUAAAACAUUUUGAUAGAUUUUUGAGCCCCAUGUCUAAUGUUCUUUAUUUUCAAUGGAGCAUAUACAAUGUUGGUGUUGUUUACUUGUCAUAUUGCAGUCUACACGAAAUAAAACAAAAUAAAAUCAAUAACGGAGCAGCAUCUCCUCAUCCGGAAACAACCACACCGGAAAUGUGUCCCGUGAAAAACCGUCCGACCGGAACUGUCUAAUAACUAAAGUUCCUUGGGUGAGUAAGGUAAAGUCACUACACCGGUAUGUUUUAGCACUUUCAUGGCGAGUUUACUGACAGAUAUAAGUAAUAACUUUACACUACUUUAUAUUAGAAAUGGCAACAGCGGAGGAUGAAUGUCCCAUAACAAGAAGAUGGAGAAAAAGAAGAAGCUGAUCGACUACGGUGUCGGCACGGACUACAAAGGCGGACCUGCACGAAUUUUCCGGACUUAUGCAGAUCCCAAAUGCAAAUCAGCAGGUACCAGAAGGUUCUUACACAGACCAGGCUGCUCUUUUUGAUGGCGAGCUAAGGAAAAGAAGCAUCUAGUCCAAGGAUCGUUCUUGGAAGAUUCCAGCCAGGAACCCCACCACCUGUUCUGUCUGGGCUGGUAGGAGGCUCUCGAGCCAACCCUCUACACAUUUUCAUCCUUAACUUACAGCACUGCCAUCCUUUUUUCCAAUAACUCUAUUAAGUCAGAGCUGAGAUUUAUACAAGAUCCAGAGACACUAAAUAAUUGAAUUGGAAUUGUAUAUAUGUAUAUAGUAACUGUGUUUUUCUUCAAAUAGCUUUUCAUGUUGAAUGGCCAUUGAAUGGUCAUUGUUGUGUAUAUAUCUGCUGUCCAUCACUAAUUCUUUAAUACACGCUGCCAACCAAACUGCAAUUCAAGCUCUGCCUUCUCUCUCCGAGUCGAAACUCUAGUCUUCUGUUCCUAGCCCAUAACACCCCAUAUAUAUUGAUUUGUAGCACGUAUAGGUUACACAUUACAUUGUAUCGUAUGCAUGUUCCAAAUAAACUAAAACUGAAGAAAACAGAGCAAAAAGAUGUAACGGGAUGAGAAAAAAGUAGCAAAUUUGAUACAAAAUUAGAAAAUCUAAGUAUGUGGGGGGACAUUUUGUUAUUUUUUUAUUUUGUCAAACCAAAAAAUGCUACAAACAUAGACGUUAUAUAUCAAAACUUAGUGUCCG